CUAGGUAGUUAUGGCGGGUGUUACACACGCGAUCCCAUUCCGAACUCGACAGUGAAACCACCCAGCGCCGAUGGUACUUCUGCCCCAUAAACAUUUUCCCAAACAUGUUUGUGGUGGGAGGGGUAGAGUGAUGUGGCAAAUCCUGGU
rnacentral:rRNA from 1 species